rnacentral:lncRNA from 1 species
GGCACGUGUCGGACAGGGAGCUGAGGCACGCAAUGCUCAUCCUUGGAGUGGAUGCAGGAGAUCCCUAGGUCAAGAAGGUGCCAAGGUUUUUUUUUGUUCUGUUUUUUUUUUUGAGACGGAGUCUUGCUCUGUCUNNNNNNNNNNUUUUUUUUUUGAGACGGAGUCUUGCUCUGUCUUUCAGGCUGGAGUGCAGUGGCACAAUCUCAGCUCACUGCAACCUCUGCCUCCCGGAUUCAAGCGAUUCUCCUGCCUCAGCCUCCCGAGUAGCUGGGAUUACAGGCGCGUGCCAUCACACCCAGUGAAUUUUUGUAUUUUUACAGCCAGGGCCCUUAAUAGCAGUUGGCAAUGACAGUAUAAAGAAGGGGUGGAUUCUUCAGAAAUCAAGACAGACACAUUGGCACAGGUCUUGAGAGAG